UACGGAGGGUGCAAGCGUUAUCCGGAUUCACUGGGUUUAAAGGGUGCGUAGGCGGGCAGGUAAGUCAGUGGUGAAAUCUUCGAGCUUAACUCGGAAACUGCCUUUGAUACUAUCUGUCUUGAAUAUGGUGGAGGUAAGCGGAAUAUGUCAUGUAGCGGUGAAAUGCUUAGAGAUGACAUAGAACACCUAUUGCGAAGGCAGCUUACUACGCCUAUAUUGACGCUGAGGCACGAAAGCGUGGGGAUCAAACAGG
rnacentral:rRNA from 1 species